AUGGAUCUAAACCCUCACAUUUUGUGUUGGAAUGUUAGGGGCCUAAACAGCCCGGCUAGGAAAAAGGAUGUUAGAGAUUUUGUGUCUUCAGUGAAAGUAAACCUAGUAUGUCUUCAAGAGACUAAGCUUGAUGUAAUCGACCCCUUCAUUGUUAUGCAAUGCAUUGGACCGUCUCUUGACGGUUUUGCUUAUCUACCGGCACAUGAUACACGUGGUGGUAUCCUAUUGGCAUGCGACGAAACGGUAAUGGAGGUUGACAACAUCAUGCUUGAUAACAACUCCCUUACCGGUCUUGUGCACACUAAGGAUGGAGUGAAUUGGUGGCUCACAGUGGUGUACGGCCCCCAAGGAGACGAUCUUAAAUCUCAAUUCCUGGAGGAGCUUAAGAAUAGAAGGGUGGCUUGUCAGGGCCCGUGGAUGAUUCUUGGAGACUUCAACAUGAUCCUACGGGCCUCGGAGAAAACCAACACCAAUCUCAACCGUACGAUGAUGAGAAAGUUUAGGGACUUUGUGGACGAGCAUGAGCUGAAAGAGCUAUACAUGCAUGGUCGAAAUUUCACCUGGAGUAACGAAAGGGAUGCACCGGUCAUGACCAAAAUCCAUAGAGUUCUAGUGUCGGUUGAUUGGGAGCUCCACUUUGCGGAUAGCUUGCUGCAAGCAAUGUCCACCAAUGUCUCGGAUCACGCGCCGCUGCACUUGUCUACUAGUUGA
rnacentral:rRNA from 1 species